rnacentral:rRNA from 1 species
UACGAAGGGGGCGAGCGUUUGUUCGGAAUUACUGGGCGUAAAGGGCGCGUAGGCGCCUUCUAAGUCGAACGUGAAAUCCCCGGGCUCAACCCGGGAACUGCGUCCGAUACUGGAAGGCUUGAAUCCGGGAGAGGGAUGUGGAAUUCCAGGUGUAGCGGUGAAAUGCGUAGAUAUCUGGAGGAACACCGGUGGCGAAGGCGACAUCCUGGACCGGUAUUGACGCUGAGGCGCGAAAGCUAGGGGAGCAAACGGG